CACACAUAGAACACAUAUAUUCAUAUAUCUAAUAUACCUACAUAGAGGGAAGCCCUGGUUGUUUUUUAAAACUAGGAUUACAGCAUACAUAUACUCUGUGUAUUAAAUUGGAUUUUUUUGGCCUAUGCUCUCAUUUUUCUUUGCUGAAGAAAUUGAGUAAAUUUCUUUUUCACUUUACACAAUAUAGAAUUCCCUGUGGUAUGAUAGAUGUAGAUCCAAACUCACUUAAAAAAAAUAAAGCUGUGUAAUAUUUUAUAUUAUUUAGGUCUCACAAUUUAUUCAGCCAAUUGAUAGACAUCAUACAAGAAAUGCAUAUCCACUUCUUUCUUAGGGGAAAUAUGAGAUCAGAAAUAUGAAAUCAUUCUUAAAAGGGAAAUAUGAAUUUUCCUGUUAAGAAUGAAAGUUGAGCACUAAACCAUCAGGUUCUUGCUAGCCAUAUUCUCAGGGCUAGGGAGAAGCUGAAAAGUAAGUGCUUUUAAGAUUUGUUCUUAAGUUCCUGACACAUAAGGAGAAAAAGGCAAGAAUUUUCCUAUAAACUUUAUUUUGCACACAUGUAUAGACUCUUUAUAGAGCUUAAUUCUUUCAAACAUUUUAGGAAUAUUGUUUAGAUAAUUGCAUAGGUGGUCAUAAAACAGUGGUUAUUGUGAAAAUUGAUGAUGAUUUAAAAAUGUUACAGCUAAUGUAAAUGAUUCAUCAGGAAGCUUAUUAAACCUUUCUUAAGGUCCAUUGUACUCAAAAUCAUUUUGUCUUGGGGGUGUUAGAUGAACAAUGCACUUAGAUAUCUCUUACUGUAGUAGAUUUGAAAGAAAGCAAUUUUUGUCUGUAAACCCAAACACAACACAUUGUGUCUUUGGUUAGCAUUUUCUUCCACAACACUUAAACCAUUACAAAUAACCAGCAAUCAAAGCACUACUACAUAGAUCUUUAUGUAUUGCCACUUUACUCAAAGUGGGCUUCCUGAGUUAGAGGGUAGGCAUUUUUUACUUUUUAUUAGAGAGUGGCAGAUUACCUUCCCUAAGAGAUAAAGCAAUUCAUAUUGCCUUGUCUGCUCAAGUUGUUAUACUACUUUAGAAAGGGACAUUAGGAGACACACUGGCUUCAAGCUGCCAUCUUUCCAGCUGGCUUCUUAUUUUAAAGUAUGAUAUAAAUAAAUAGUUUAAAUUAUUCCUCUCUGGUCUUAAUUUGCUAUUGAGAUGAAUUUAGAAAUGGUAUACAGUCCAGGGGCUUUCCUGGUGGCACAGUGGUUAAGAAUCUGCCUGCCAAUGCGGGGGACAUGGGUUUGAUCCCUGGUCCAGGAAGAUCCCGCAUGCUGCGGAGCAACAAAGCCCACGAGCCAAAACUACUGAGCCCAUGCGCUGCAGCUAUUGAAGCCUGUGUGCUUAGAGCCUGUGCUCUGCAACAAGAGAAGCCACUGCAAUGAGAAGCCCGUGCACUGCAAUGAAGAGUAGCCCCCGCUAGCUGCAACUAGAGAAAGUCCACACACAGCAACAAAGACCCAAAGCAGCCAAAAAAGAAAGAAAGAAAGAAAGAAAGAAAUGGUACACAGUCCAAACACAAGUCCCCCUUAUCUCCUACUCAGAUUUUUUACCCAUUUUCUCCAAAUUGCUAUUAGAGAUGAAUGGGACUUGCAGGUCUAGAAGACAAGCAGAUGAACACAAUUGCAAGAUUAGAUGUUUCUCUAUUUGGAUCACAAGGAGGAAAACACCCCACAUUACCUUUCAUCGGGGUUCUUGAUUAUGUUGUGUUUUUCCAUUAGGUUUUCUAUCUCUUGCAAUUUACCAAUUGAUGAAGAAUGAGGAGAGCUAUACUGUGGGCUAGAGUGAGAUGGAAGGAGAAGAAAACCAGCAAAGUCAAGUGAGCAAAGGCCAUGUGGAAAAACAGCAAGAAGGCAGCUGUCUAUGAGUAAGGAAGAGAGCUCUUGCCAGAAACUGACCCUGCUGGCACCUUGAUCUUGGACUUCUAGCCUCCAGAACUGUGAGGAAAUAAAUUUCUAUUGUCUAAGCCACCCAGUAUGUGGUAUUUUGUGGUUGUAGGGCAGAAGCAGCCACAGACGAUACAUAAAUGAAAGGGUGAAUAGUUAUGGCUGUGCUCCAGUGAAGGGGCUUAGGACAGAAUUUGGCCUUCAGGUUGUAAUUGGCCAACCUGUGUCCUAGACUAUCCCACAACCUCACCACUCACCAGGAACAUAAGAGCCUCCAUAAUCUCAGGGCAACAUCACCCAGAAACUCAUUAUCAGAAGGCCAGGUUUGUCUUUGUGUUGUUUCAUCCCAUACAGGUUGUCUUAAAAGCCUAUGACUUUCUGCUCAUGACCAUACUGCUAUGACUUCAACAUGCCUGAGAGUGCCUAAGUAGUCUUGUCCUUAAGCCAAUAACCAGUUAUAUUUUUUAUCGUUUUGUCACAUCAUGAUUAAACAAUGCAACACUAAACCCAGAGCCAAAAGUGGCAAAUCUCUGGGUCAUAUUGUCUUAAACAAAAUGGUCAUUUAGGUUCAUGAAGAGUAGAGAAAUACCUGCAUUUAUUUAUCUCUGUGCAUGUUUGGAAUUGUCUUAAUUAUAUUUAAUUUACACUGAGUUUUAGUCUGAAUUGGGAGUUUGGUGGAAAGUUCUCAUAGACUGACCCUCAUCCUAGAAGUGGCAUUUAGCAGCUGCUGUUCUUCAUUCAGGUCUCUGUUUAAAAGUAUUUUCUGAGAAAGGUCUCCUCUGACCACCUUAUCUAAGAGAGGACCACUUGUAUCCCCUCAGCCAGCUUUAUUUUUCUUCCUAGGACUUAUCACUGUUUGACAUCAUAUUAUAUAUUCAUGGAUUGAUUAUCUAUCUCUAAGUCUAGAAUGUAAACUCCAUUGAAGACUUGUUUUUUCUCUUCACUGUUGUAUCCCUCAGAACCACAAACAGUGCCUGGCACAUAGCAAGUGCUCAAUAAAUAUUUCUUGAAUGAGUGAAUGAACUAAUUGGAGGCCAGACUUAUUUCCCAAGUUUGAGUCCUUCUCUUGGACACCAACUGCAUGUUCCAGAAGCUCUGAAUACAGAGUGCUCCUCUGUUCUGGCCGGUGUUCACACAGAGGUUGUAAAUAGCCCAUAAACCCUGGGUCUGAAUCAAGGAACACUUGCCUGAAAUUCCAGGGGUCAAUUCUUCAUGGAUCCUCUGUUCCCAUUGCCCAUUUAUCUGCUCAAAUGUCCUUUGUCUGCACUGUAGACCCCAUCUGACCUCUGCUUCUAGCAGCUGAUGUUUGCCUGUGUUUUUCACACAUACCUUUUGGUCUCAUGCAAGUUUACACUCACUCCCAACCCGGCCCAGCCAAAUCCAUUUGGUGUUUUUCAAGUGAUGGUAGAAGAUAUGGUAUAGGUGAUAUAUUUUAAUUUUUGUAAUGGUAUAUGUGCUUUGAUGUGUAUUACAAUA